rnacentral:rRNA from 1 species
GAUGAACGCUGGCGGCGUGCUUAACACAUGCAAGUCGAACGAUGAAGCCCAGCUUGCUGGGUGGAUUAGUGGCGAACGGGUGAGUAACACGUGAGUAACCUGCCCUUAACUCUGGGAUAAGCCUGGGAAACUGGGUCUAAUACCGGAUAGGAGCGUCCACCGCAUGGUGGGUGUUGGAAAGAUUUAUCGGUUUUGGAUGGACUCGCGGCCUAUCAGCUUGUUGGUGAGGUAAUGGCUCACCAAGGCGACGACGGGUAGCCGGCCUGAGAGGGUGACCGGCCAAAGAGGGACUAGGAAAGGGCCCAGAGGCCAGGGGGGGGAAGGGGGGGGAAAAUGUGCAAAAGGGGGAGAGGCCGGGAGGAGGGGCGGCGGGGAGGGAAAAACGGCCUUCGGGUAAGAAACCUCUUGGGGUAAGAAAGAAGGGAAAGGAAGGGAACUGGCAAAAAAACCACGGGCAAAAAAGGG